rnacentral:rRNA from 1 species
CAUGCAAGUCGAAGCGGGGGAAGGUAGCUUGCUACCGGACCUAGCGGCGGACGGGUGAGUAAUGCUUAGGAAUCUGCCUAUUAGUGGGGGACAACAUCUCGAAAGGGAUGCUAAUACCGCAUACGUCCUACGGGAGAAAGCAGGGGAUCUUCGGACCUUGCGCUAAUAGAUGAGCCUAAGUCGGAUUAGCUAGUUGGUGGGGUAAAGGCCUACCAAGGCGACGAUCUGUAGCGGGUCUGAGAGGAUGAUCCGCCACACUGGGACUGAGACACGGCCCAGACUCCUACGGGAGGCAGCAGUGGGGAAUAUUGGACAAUGGGGGGAACCCUGAUCCAGCCAUGCCGCGUGUGUGAAGAAGGCCUUAUGGUUGUAAAGCACUUUAAGCGAGGAGGAGGCUACUCUAGUUAAUACCUAGAGAUAGUGGACGUUACUCGCAGAAUAAGCACCGGCUAACUCUGUGCCAGCAGCCGCGGUAAUACAGAGGGUGCGAGCGUUAAUCGGAUUUACUGGGCGUAAAGCGUGCGUAGGCGGCUUAUUAAGUCGGAUGUGAAAUCCCCGAGCUUAACUUGGGAAUUGCAUUCGAUACUGGUGAGCUAGAGUAUGGGAGAGGAUGGUAGAAUUCCAGGUGUAGCGGUGAAAUGCGUAGAGAUCUGGAGGAAUACCGAUGGCGAAGGCAGCCAUCUGGCCUAAUACUGACGCUGAGGUACGAAAGCAUGGCA